ACAGCUGGGAAGGAAGGCGCCGGGAAGGACGGCCAGCCCCCCAGACCCUGGGAGGGCUGCGCCGCGCCUUUCUCGGACCUUCCUGGGCUGGAGAGGUGCGCGCCGUCCGCACCUCGCCCAGGGGCUGGAAUCUCCAAUCCAGGAGAUGCGCGCUGGAGCCUGAGUUCCUGAGUCUCUGGAGCCACCACCUGCGAAUGACCUUCGCUUCCACUGAGCUGUGCCCGGCAGCCCAGUGAGACUGCUCCAGGUAAGGAGGGUCUUGGAAUGAGCUGGGCUUUAAGAUUUAGGAUGUUCUCUAGGGGAUGGUUAACAGUGGAGAUGCGCCAGAUACCUUGUUUUUUUGAUGACAAAACUGCACUUUGAUUGUGAUGUUUCAGGUUCUGAUUAGGGUCGACUUAGUCUCAGUCACCUCACCUUAACAUUGAUUAAAGAAAAGCUCGUUGUCUAGGAAGGUACUAAAACUUAGGGUUUCAUAUUGACAAAUCCUAGGAUUUUGUGUGAGUUUUACUUGCCGUUAAUAUAAAUUUUCCUCCAAAAGUUUUAUUCUCCUGCUUCCUGGGUAUGAAAAUUAGACACUGAAAAUUGUGGAUUUUUUCUAAAAGGUAUUUAUUAACUCAUAAACAGAUAAUAUCGGCAUCUAUGUGAUGUGUCACAGUUGUUCUAGAUAUUGGAAAUGAGUACAGUGGUGAAUGGAGUUGCUUCUUAAGUCAUGUUUUACAGAGAAUUAUUUUCCAACAAUCAUUUAUGCAUAGCAGCCAUUCUUCACACCUAUUAGGAAAAAUAUGUUGUGUGCGUAGUUUCCAAAAGGGUACUCUUUUUUCAUGAUGCUCUUCCCAAGCCUGGGUGAAAGACAUCAUGAAAAGCUCUCACAAAUUAGUUCUCCUUCCCUAAACAUUCAUUUUCCUUGAGGUCCAAGGAAAUCCAGUCAGAGUCAAAAAUCAACAAUCCAAUUAGAUUUUUAACCCAUUAUUUAGACUUUAUUUUGCAGAUCUACCUAAGAAAAGCUCUAUCUAAAAGCUUUAAGCUGGUAUUACAUAGUACAUUCAAGACUAGAAGGCAGUGUUCCAUUGCUGAUGUUCAGGAGACCCUAACGGCCGUAGUUAACCUGAACCAAAUCAUCUGUUCAAGGCUAUUUGUCGAAAUUGUUGGGUGAUUGAAAUUGAAAUGUUCAAAAUAAACCAAAGUGUGACCCUAUAGUUUCUGCAACUAAUCUGUAAGUAGCAGAGUGUCCAAGUUGGAGUGUGUUUUAAAUGAUAAUAGAAAAGCAAAUAGUUGAUACUUUGAGGCAACCUUGAUGUGCCAUCAGAGACAAAGUAGGAAUGCAUCUAGUGUUGUGGGAUUUAUCAUUUGUAAUAUCAUGUUACUAACCUACUAUGUGUCCAGUUAGAACUCAGCUUUAAAAAGUCAGAAUUUCUGGGUGUUCCAUGCUAGCAUUAUGAGAGGAUCUAGGGUGAUUAGAUUUGCAAAACAUCUUUGCAGUUUAAGUCAGUAUUCUCAGUGGGCAUUUAUUUCUACUCAAUAUUUUAACAUAGCUCAAAACAUCCAUUGGCCGGGAUUUGCUUUGAUUUUAUGCCUCUAUUCUAUAGUUAAUUUCAGGAACUACAGCCACAAAAGUAAUAGUCAUUGUAAAAUACUCUAAGGUUAUUUAUUGACCACACCAACAUAUCAAGUAUAGUAAACAUGAAAUCCUCAUUAUAACUUAUUGACAAGAACACAGAAAACUUACAGUUGUGGUCUAAGUUGAUGCUCGGAGUUGAAGAAAACUCUGUUCUUGGUGAACUUCUCAGAUUCCUUCAAUGUUGAAAGGAAUGAAGAUAUUAUCUGCUGUUUUUUAUUAGAGUAAAAACAAAAUAGAAACAGGAGACGUGGUAUUUUCAUUGAUAACCCAAACCAAUGUUCGGGCUGCAAAUUAGAACCAAUGGGAGAACAUUAAAAAAAAUAUUGGACCCUACCCAAAACUAAGUCAGAAUAUCUGAGGGACGGGUCUACAUUUUUACUUUUUUUUUUUUUUUUUUGACGUGAUAGAGCUCGUUAAUAUUGGAGGGUCUUGGAACAUAAAUGCUGUAUGUUCUAUUGUCAGUCUAAUCUUUUUUAUCUUAAAGAAAAUAUUUAUAAUUUAUUAUCCCAAUUAGAAGAAAGAGAUUUGUUUCCCUUAAUGGUAGAUGUUUACCGUAACAGUUUCCGGGAAAGAAAUUUUUUUUUCUAGAAAACAAGCUAUUGAGUUUGAAGCUUAUCUGACUGUCCAGAGAAUGCUCUAGUGAAUUUACUCUAACUUUAAGAGAUGUUGGAAACAAUGCUUUAUGAAACACAGAAUUUGGUCUCAUUUUGCUAAGACCUAUAUGAUGUGUAAUGUGCAAAUAUAUAUACCCUUUUGAAAGGAGAGAAGAAAAUAGUACCAUACUCCUUGGCACACCAAAUAACAUAUCCCGGGUGCUGAAUAUGUUCUGGUAUUUUCACAUAAAUUAUUUCCUUUAAAGCCCACAAUAGCUUAGCGAGGUGCCAGCUUCUACUCUGAUUUCAUAUAUGAGGAAAUUAAGGACCCAUUAGGUUAAUGAACAUGCUUAAAGCUGCAAACCAAGUAAAUCUAAUGCGUAUUUGAACCCUGGUCUUCUUAUUCUAAGUUCAAUGCUAUAAUAAAAUAUAUAUUUUUAUACAUAUAUGUAUAUACAAAUAUUUUAAAUUUAAAGACAGCAUUUUUUUUGCAAAGCAGUAUUGAUUAAGAGCCACCGAUUCUGGCACGGCUCUGCUUGGGUUUCAUACCCGACUCCAUCACCUUCUAAGAAGUUGUAUGAUUUUGGACAAAUAAUCUAACUUCUGUGUGUCUUAAUUUCCUUUAUAAAAGGGAGUUUUUCUAAUGAGUAUUAAAUUAAUAUUUGUAAAUCAUUUGGGGUAGAUGUCUGGUGCAUAGUAGUUUCUAUGUAAGUGUUAUAUUUUUUAAAUGUCAUCUAUUCAAAAAAUUUUUGUGAUUAUUUAUAAUGUACCAAGCAUUGCAUUAAGCCUGAAGAUACAUAGACAAAUAUGAUAUGUCUCUAUCCUCAAAGAUUUUGCAUCUAAUAGAGGAUGACCAAUACACAAGUAAUAUUCCACUCAGGUAUGAAAUUUUAUUCCAUUUUAAUUAUCAUUGAAAGCAUUAUUUUACGUGACAACUGUGUACUUUCUUGAUGUUAAUAUGAUCUUCCAGAGGUCCAUAUCAUGAGUAUUACAAAACCAAGCCAAGUGAUAAUAUUUUGUAUUGUCACAAUGGUAUUGUUUUCAAUUCUAUCAAAACCCAGGAAAAAAUACUAACAUAUGUUUCUGACUUGGCUUUAUGAGUUUAGAUGACUGGUAAUAUGCAGAGGUUUUAGGUCUCUAAAAUUUUUAUUUUAGAAGUGAAGAAUUUGGAGGGGAAGAAUUGAUAGAAAAUGUCGUCGUCGGACUCUAUUCCUCAAUAUUCACAAGUACAAUUUUCUUGAAUUGUUUUUCUGAAAAGAGAGUUGUCUGAUUGGAGUGCAGUUUUGUUUUGUUUGUUCAUUUUUAAAGCAAAAUAAAUUUAGUGUAGGAAGAGUGGAUCAAGGAGUACAGUUAAAUGUCUCAAAUAUGAGCUGGCUCGGCAACCCUGUAUCGGAUCGAGGGGCAGUGAUUCUCCCACCAAACGGCGGCUCCAUGCCUUUGCAUAUCGCAUGAUAACCCCGGAUACCCCUGGAUACCUGAGGUGUAAGAUUAUGUCUUUGUCCAAAUGACAAGCCUCUCUUUAUUAAAAGUAGCAUAUGAAUUUAAGCUCUUUCUCAAAGACAUAAAAUACCUGGCCCCAUGAAAUAGUUUCUGUUUUUGUAAUCAAUAUUUAACCAUUCUAUUUCAUUAAAAUUCCUGCUUGCAAAUGUAUAUCUUUCUUUUCUCUUAUCAAGACUCCAGGCUAAUCCCAAUUUUUCCCAUGGAUGUCACAUUUUUCUUCAUAGUUUCACUGCCAUCCCCUAAUUGAAGCUUUUAUUACCUUUAACAAAAUGCUUAAAUAGUCUCUUAAUAUUCAGUCACAUUUAGUCCCUCUGCGAUGCAUUUGGUGUUACACAACAUGGUCAGAUUUGUCUUCUAAAGUCCCGUUUUUUCACCUUGAUUCAUAAUUAUUCAGUCAUUACCCAAGGACGGACAGCAAGACUUAGAAUCACUCUUCAGCCUAGCAUUGAAGAGGUGUCAUGAUACAACUUCAUUUUAUCUUUUCUAUUUAAGCCAAGCAAAAAAACUGCCACAGCUCCCUAAUUCCAGUACCGAAGCCGUAGUGAUGCCACCAAAACUGACUCCCAUCCGGGCUUCAUUUUCAACCCUUGCACUAGCAACUCCAGUUUAUAUUAUAUUGCCUCAGAAUUGGGGUAUGUGAGAAGGGGGACCCUUUAUAUCAAUGGUUCAGUCGUGGAGCCACUUUGCUUUGAUUUUGGUUUCUUCCUGCAACCAAGCCCCUACAUUUUAUUUGUCUGGUAGUUCAGGAUCUCGCAUUUCCGAUCUUACCUUCCUCCAUCCUUCAAAAGGUAUUAAUCAUUCCCCUGUAACGCAUCCAAAAAAUUAUCAUCCUUAUAGCUUUGUUCAUAUGUUAAAAUUCAAUAAAUGUUUAUUAAAUGCCUAUUAUGUACUAGUCAGGGGAUAUUUGACAAAUUAUAACUUCCGGCCUCAUGAGGACUAAAGGAGACAGACAAACCAACAGACAAUUACAAACCCGUGUGGUAAGUACUCCACUAGAGAAAUGCCAUCAAUGCUUUGGAAGCAGGGGGAAACAGCACCGAGCUGGACACCAACGAAGCUUUCCAAGGAAGGUGACCCUAAAGGGGACAUGAUUCAGCAUUGGCAUGAUUCAGCAUUGAAAUGACAAAACAGAAUGAGCCAGAUAAGGAAGGGAAGACAUGAGGUAUGUUAUAGGCAGAACACCAGACCACAAAAAGCCCUGAAAGCUUGAAACAACAUGGUGAUUUUCAGAAGCCCCAGGUAUCCAGAGGUACCGUGGAGGUAUCAUGCGAUACUGGGCAAUGGCAUGGGGCCACGGGACCAGCUCCGAUGAGAUAGGCUAGCUGAGCCAGCCCAGAAUCAGAGCAAUAAGACUCCUGGCUUCAUUAAUUUGUAUCUAUCCCCCUUUCAUUCUAAUAUUUUUCCUAUCUUUCAACCAGACUGAUCUACCAGAAUGGCAGAUCUGAUUAUUUAAGUCCCUGGUUUUAACUCUCUCAUGAUGAAAUGCAAACCCUUUAACACAGCCGGCACAGGAGCCUCUUCUUGACCGGUAUCUCAGCCAACCUUGGCAGGACGAAUCAAAAUACCUUAUAGCAGUAACAGAGGGAAGAAAUGAUUAGAGUCACCUUGUUGGAGAUACAAAAGGAAAGAAAAGAGUCAGGAGAUUAUAGGGGUAUAUAGGGGUAGUUGGUGAAUGACAGAAAUUUGAGGUGGGUUGAACAAAGGAAAUGAGCGAUGCUGUGAUCACUUCCAAGUUUCUUUCACAGAUAAUAAGAGAGAUGGAAGUCAUUCACAUAGGACAAGUAAUAUUUUGGGGAAGGAAGAUAAAGAAUUUUAUUUGAAACAUGAUACAUUUGCUUAUCCAUGUGGCAAUGUCUGAAAGACUGAAAUUUGUGUCUCGAGAGAAUUCUGUACUAGAUAUUUGGGAGACAUUAGUAUAUCUAUUCCAGCUGAUGGUUUAGGAAUGGAGGGUAUUACCUAUAGAGAAAUAAAAAA
rnacentral:lncRNA from 1 species